ensembl:lncRNA
AUGAUUCUUUCAGAAACUCUGGAAUUACUAAAGACAGUUUGUGUUUUUGAUAUAGGGUCUGAUCAUGACAGCAAACUGUCUCUGAGUCAGUCGGAAGAGGAUGAGGAACCUUCAUCCUCAUCUCGUGUCUUCAGACGAGAGACUAGAGCCACAAGAAGAGCUGCACAGAAUAAUGGAGCAAAACGCAGACAUGAGGGCCAUGGCAAGAUGAAUGGGCACAGCAGAUCACACGAGUGUCAGAGACCACGACCCUGCAGCGAUUCUGACCAAGAGCCUUCGCAAGGCUCUGACGCCUCAGAGAACGAGUCGUCAUCAUCUGUCAGUCGCCGACCGAGGGCCCGCAAGACCGCCAUGGCAGCAGUUAAUAAGAUGAAACUCAUGGAUACCCUGGAAGAAGAUGAAGGCUCGGAUGAGGAGGGGCGUGGAGGCAGCACCCGACCUGCGACCCGUGCUAGCAAACGCUCUGCUGUAAUUCAGAGCAGUUCUGAUUCAGAAGAGGAGGAAGAAGAGUCAAAUGAAAGUGACGUUUCAGCCAGUGAAGAAGAGAAAAGUGAAGGCAGCGCAGACAGUGAUUCAUCUUCUCAAAGCAAAGCGGAGAGUAGAACUGCUGGGCGCAAACCAUCUAGAAGAUCAGCAGAAAAAAAGGAAACAUCUCCUUUCAUUAAUGGACACAGCACCAAACGGCAACGAGUGAAAAGCGAGGACAACACAGAUGAUGGGGAGAGUCAGAAUGAAAGUGUGAAUGGGGAGUCAGACGAGGAUUUCGUUGUCAGGCGGAAGUCCACCAGGAAGACCGCAAAAGCUGCUGUCACUAAAAUCAAAAAAUUUAAUGACACUGAUGCUGAAGAAGAGAAUUGCUCCAGAGUCCAACGUCAGAAAAAUCGGCCAAGCAAGCAGGAUUCUGAAAGAAGUUCUGAUGAGGAUGUUGAGGUGCCCAAAACUCAAAAGCACCCUUAUCAAAACGGAAGAAAGCUGAAGAGGAGUAAAACACCUUCAGAAAGCCAAGAACAAGCUUCUCCCACAAAACAGCAAGUUACCCGCAAAAAAAACUCAACCACAGAUGCAUUAACAUCAACCACCCAGGACUCAGAGGAGCUCAGUGAUGUUUCAGAAAAAACUUUUGCUCGCAGGAAAAUAAUUAAAUCAGAAGACGAAGAAAAUCAAAGUGAUGAAGAAAGAAGGUCGCUCAGAAACAGAAAGUGUGUGUCCAGUGUUCGCAGAAAGACACUUGAGUCAAUGUCGGAUGCCUCCAGUUCGCAAAGUGAAGAGGAGGUAGACCGAAGACAGAGGAAAAAGGAGGAUACUUCCUCUGAUGAAUGGCAAAAGAGCGAUGCAUCAGAGGGGGACAAGAGGGCACAUCCGAGGAGGAAGCCUUGCCUUAAAGUUGCAUCCAAAGGAAUCUCUCUUAGAACUCUUCCCAAGAAGAGCUACAUUAUGGAGGACUCGGAUGAAGAAUUCAGUCCCGAGAUGGAGAUGCAGUCGAAGAAUGGAAAGAGCAAGGAGCGGGCCAACUCCAGGGCAAGAAAACCACCAGGCGGUAACUCCAAAAGAAAACGUGGUGGCUCCUCAGAGUCUGAAGACACAGACAACAAAAGUAGCAGGACCAGGGAUGAAAACGAGGGCAUGACACCUCAAAGAAAGCAUGCAAAAUGCCACAAGCGCUUAAGGGGCUCGACAGACUCUGAGAGUGACUCCGAAACUAGGUGCAAAUCAGAGAAUGGUCGGGAGCAAUGGUCUCAGGAGAAGCUUCCCAAGGCGACCCGUCAACGAAGGAAGCAAAGCGAAAGCGAUGAUGAUGAUGAUGGAAGCGACUCUGAAAGCGAAGAGUCUGGGGAGUCUGAAUCAGACGCCAGCUCAGGUUCACAGAGCAGUCCGAAGAGAAAGCUAAGAGAUCGUGGCCGAGGAACCGCGCAGUCCAGGAAACGUCAGAGGGAUGUUUCUGAUGAGGAUAGCGAUGUGUCGUUUGGGAAACCUCGACGGGCCACGCGCAUUCGGACCAGAAACAGAGGCAAACGGACUGUGAAUUACCAAGACAGCGAAUGAAGGACUUGGGUGGUUGAGCCAUGCAAGAGACACUAACUGGAGACCUUGAAGACACACUUGAUUGUCCCAACAUAAAAACAAUGGUAGUAGCACUGGAGUCCUCAAUAUACUGUGAAUCGGUUUCAUUCAGGGAUAUUUAUGUUUUGUAUUAUAAAUAAGAAUUAUAAAUAAGAUGUAUUUGAUCUACUGGUUUGGCUGUUCAAACCAGCCCCACUCUGUGAUUCGGCCAACAGGAAAGACUGCAUAGAGAAGGAUCAUUUGCUUGGGUGCUAUCCAAAUAUACCUCCUGUUUAAUCAAGCAUAUUUGCUGGCUUGCACUAAAAGGCACACUGUAAUGAGGUAUUUUAUACACUAGUUCUGCAUUAGAAACUCAGGGGUCAACUACGUUUACCAUAUUCUCAAACUUGCAUUUGUUUCUUCUUUCAAUUUUUAGCUCUAGGAUUCUAGUGUCAUAUUUCCGACAUGAGCAUUUAGGUCCAAAAACACUUUAUGAAAAUGAACAAGUCAUCUUUGACUCUGACACACAAAUUCUGUUUUGUCACUGUUAAAGGGAUCGUUGAGCCAAAAUGUACAAAUGUUUUUCUUUGUCACCUGUCACCUUUUGGUUCCUCUUUUUGUUCUUUGACCAUAUUUCCAGGUUUUUGAGAGUCGGUUUGUAGCAAAGCAUUGUAUAUUUAAAUUCCUUUGUCAAGCAUGUCUUCUUUUUUUUUUUUUGUAUUCAACUGAGAUGAAUUGCCAUGCCAUGAACUAUGAAUUGGUACCUAUUUGCUAAGUACAGUAAAUCAAAUGAGUACUUCCAGCAAAGUACUGUGAUUUCUCAUAUUGGGAAGACGUUUUAGUGAUCUGUGUUGCAUACUUUCAGUAUUAAUUCCUUUUCAGAUUUAACUUAUGAACAGCAAUUAACUUUUGUAUGCAGUCUUUGAAUUGUGCAUCGCCGUUUAUGUAAUGCAGUUGUUAUUUGGCAUUUUGCUUGAUGUCUUUUUCAUAAGAGCUUCUUUAAUACAAGUUUCACUGAGGAUGAUAAGCCUGUUGGCCGCUUAAGUGAGAGAGGGAUGACUUCCUAUGAAUAAAGUACUGUUUCAGGUUGGAAUUGGAAUUUGU